rnacentral:lncRNA from 1 species
GAUGAAAUCAUUGAAUUGAUUAAAAAUGAUUAUAAACAAAUAUUUACUUUACAGAAUACACAUUAUUUAGUGAUUUAGUUAAUUUUAAUUGUUCAAACAAUUUUCAGUGAUUUUGAUUUCAUUCUUCCAAAAUCUAAAUCUGAGUUCUUGUGUCAUUCUUAAUUCAGUAUUGAGCAUCUCUUCUCUCAUAUGGUAAUAUGAUAUCAGUUGUUGUUGACUCCCACCUAAAUUGCAGUAUGAAAUUUGGCUUGAAAAGAACUGGAUCGUAUUUGGAUGAAUUCAUGGAUCCAAGCGGCCAUUGACCACUAUGUUCUUCUUGGUUAUGGAAAAUCCAUUGAUGAAAUGAAAAAAAAGGGAAUACGAUGAAAAUGAAUGGUAAAUCCACUUCACUAGUUCAUAUAAAAUCUACAUAUUUGUGGAAUGUUAAAGCUGCUGAUCAUCUCUGAAUCUCAAUAUCUGGGUCUUUCCUAGAUUCGACUGAACUCUUCUUUAUCUUUAUGGAGAUCUCUAGAGACUAUCCGUUCUUCUACUGCAUAUAACAAAACAUCACAAAAUCAAUCAACCUCGAUGGAAUGCAAAGAUUGAUGAUCUGAGUAAUAAUGUAAGAUUGUAAGCUUAUGCGUAGCAAUCAUAUAAUUUUUUUCGUUAUUAUGUUCCUUCUUUAUCUAUCAAUAUCUCAACUUCCAAAGAAGAAAUACAGAAACGAUAAGAAGACUUGACUUGGUUAAUUUAAGUCCAUAAGCAUUCAAAAGAAGUCAUUGCCAUAAAUGAUACGGCUAACUAGUUUUGCCAAGAUGGACUGAAAAUGAUACAUUAGAAUCAGAAAAAUAACUAAAAUUUUAGAGAAAAGACAUUCCAGUUUGUUGAUGCAGUGAGAAGAAUGAAGAUUGGGCAAAGAACCAUCGUUGAUCCACUGAAUUCUAAUACUAUUUAUAAUACUGAAAUCACCAAAAAAGUACAACUAAUUAGUCACCACAAUCACAGACCAACGCAGUACUCCACUAUUUAUUAAUUACAGUUAACUAAAUCCCAAUACAGUUAAGAUCUAUAAAAAACCAGAAUAAAUGGGCAAGAUCGAUCAAAUCCAAGAUUGUGACUGAUAAAAGUAAAUAACUUAACAAAUUCAAUGCAUACUUCUAUAAUCCACUAUAACAGCAUCAAGCCAUCAACAUAAGAAUCGAGAAGAAGAAAUAGAAAACCAGGAAGACGUAAAAAAAACAGCAAUGGUAAUUCAAUUUAAGAUCAACUUCAAUAGAGUAAAACAUUAUACAAAAGCAACUUUAAAAUAUGAAGAAAUUAACAUUUAACAGUACCUCAUCGUCUGAGAACUAUAGCCAAAACGUCUAGGUAACAAUCAAUCAGUUGCUGCUUCGCAAUCACAUCCGGAAAGAAACAGUGCCAUCUUAGUAGAUGUGCGAUCGCUGAAAUUAGAACCAUCACUGGAUUUGAGAGAAGAGUGUAUAGAAUCACCAGAUCAGCUCAUUCUACAUCGAAUCUGACGGGAUCUACUAGUGCAGUGGAAUAAGGACAGUGAAGAACAGCCGCGCUGAAUAUCGUCGGGGAGGAGAUAGGGGUGGGGUUUUG